rnacentral:rRNA from 1 species
UACGUAGGGGGCUAGCGUUGUCCGGAAUCAUUGGGCGUAAAGAGCGUGUAGGCGGCUUGGUAAGUCCGCUGUGAAAGUCCAGGGCUCAACCCUGGAAUGCCAGUGGAUACUGUCAAGCUAGAGUCCGGAAGAGGCGAGUGGAAUUCCUGGUGUAGCGGUGAAAUGCGCAGAUAUCAGGAGGAACACCAAUGGCGAAGGCAGCUCGCUGGGACGGUAUUGACGCUGAGACGCGAAAGCGUGGGGAGCAAACAGG